GACUACGACACGACGAAGGCGGACACGACAGUUUUUUCAAGAGCCCCGCAGUUCAGCCUUGCCGAGAGGCUACAUCACGAAGCGCCAGAGUCCGUAGACUUUCCUGGUCCUACGGACUACAAUAUAAGCAGAGGAAAAACUACGGCGACCUAUCGAUCGCCGCAGUACAGCUUCGGAUUAAAGAUUAAAGACAAGCCUCCGGAUUCCCUGAAAUUCCCAGGCCCGGGAGAGUACAGUCCAGACAAAGGAGAUCGCAUAGUGCGCACUAGAUCACCAGAGUACCAAAUGGGGUCAAAGUUAAAGAAAAGCCUCCCGAGCACUUCGACUACCCCGGGCCAAGCGAAUACCACUCAGAAAGAGCUGACCACGUGACCAGAAGUCGCUCUCCACGAUACAGGUUCGGCGUCAAGAUAACAGACAGGCCACCGGAAUCUCUGCAAUACCCGGGUCAGUUACGUAGUUUUUGAAAUCCCUGCACUCUACCAACUGCUUCUUUUCUUCCCAUGCUUGUGUUUCUACACGUAUGAACUCAAUAUAUAUAAACGCAAUGAACCCUUAGGCCCCGGUGAAUACAACGUUGACAAAGCAGAUCACGCGACGAGGAAGCGGUCGCCACAGCACCGAAUUGGUACCAAGUUGAAAGACAGGUCACCCGAUUCUCUUCACUACCCGGGUCAGUACAAGUUAACUUACUGAUCACGCGUUAGUUUAGGUGUCUGUUAUAAGUUACACCAUUAAUGCUGAAACGCAAUCCCUUCAAGGUCCGGGUGAAUACA
rnacentral:lncRNA from 1 species